AUUGAACGCUGGCGGCAUGCCUUACACAUGCAAGUCGAACGGUAACAGGUCUUCGGAUGCUGACGAGUGGCGAACGGGUGAGUAAUACAUCGGAACGUGCCUAGUAGUGGGGGAUAACUACUCGAAAGAGUGGCUAAUACCGCAUGAGAUCUACGGAUGAAAGCAGGGGAUCGCAAGACCUUGUGCUACUAGAGCGGCCGAUGGCAGAUUAGGUAGUUGGUGGGAUAAAAGCUUACCAAGCCGACGAUCUGUAGCUGGUCUGGGAGGACGAUCAGCCACACUGGGACUGCGACACGGCCCAGACUCCUACGGGGGGCAGCAGUGGGGAAUUUUGGACAAUGGGCGCAAGCCUGAUCCAGCAAUGCCGCGUGCAGGAUGAAGGCCUUCGGGUUGUAAACUGCUUUUGUACGGAACGAAAAGCCCUGGGUUAAUACCCUGGGGUCAUGACGGUACCGUAAGAAUAAGCACCGGCUAACUACGUGCCAGCCGCCGCCGUAA
rnacentral:rRNA from 1 species